rnacentral:rRNA from 1 species
AGACUACCCGCUGAAUUUAAGCAUAUCAAUAAG